GAAGAGUUUUAUUAGACCUCUAAUUCCUUUUCCUAAGUCCAAAAUAUAUUUGUAUUCUAGCUUUCCGACAUCCUUAGCUUGUGCUCUUCCAAGAUUUGGUUUAAAUUAUGGUGAUGAGUAUGACAGGAAGCAAAGCGUAAAGGAGAAUGACUAAUGAAAACUCAUCAUUUUGUGCCCUUUGUGCCCACAAACAGGUUCUUACAGAUUAAGAUGACAACUACUUCACUGACUAGCACUAGAUGCAUUCCUCAAAAACACCUGGAAGGACUACUAUUAAAAAAUGGCUGCUCAUUAAUUCAAAAACAUCAAACCAUGUGACUCUUGCAGAAUAAGGAAACACUGGUGGCAAGAAAGACAAGUGAUCUUUGCCUGGGAUCUAUUUUUAGGAAUGGCUUAUCUACACCCCUAGUGUUAACACUGGAAAAUAAACAAAUGGAUGAAAGGCAUCAUAAAAGAGUCACUCUGAGAUCAACAAUUCCAUAGUAUUUGAAAAUAAAAGGGGAUGAA